UUAACCGCAUCCCUCCUCCCGGCCGGCGGCACAUCCCCUUCUCGUCCGCUCUCUGCUUCCCACAUCCCCCCGUGCGAGAUUGUCCGUGAUGGAGGUGCCAAGAGAGACGGCGGCGGCGGCCCCAUCACGCCUCCGUCCUCCAAGAACUUCAGAGAUUGCGGGCGGAAUUGGUCCUGACGCACGAUUUCGCUGAUCUUCGUGCACGAGACAAAAGGUAUAGAUAAACAAGGCAAGGAGCUUCAUUUAAAUCUUUAUACAAGAAAAGCUCAGUGAUAGCCAAUCCAAAGCUUACAUAUUAAGAAGAAGAAGAAGAAGAAGAAGAAGAAGAAAUGGCAGGGUCAGGUUCGCCUGAGCCGAUGAACUCGUUGAAGCCUUCCCUCUCGCUUUGAAGCAACAGCAGUGCCAUCUCCGAGUCAUUAUCUACACCAAAAUCCGAGACCACCUGUUCGCUCACAAAACUGCCACCCUCGUGGC